AUUGAACGCUGGCGGCAUGCUUUACACAUGCAAGUCGAACGGUAACAGGCCGCAAGGUGCUGACGAGUGGCGAACGGGUGAGUAAUGCAUCGGAACGUGCCCAGUCGUGGGGGAUAACUACUCGAAAGAGUAGCUAAUACCGCAUACGAUCUAUGGAUGAAAGCGGGGGACCGUAAGGCCUCGCGCGAUUGGAGAGGCCGAUGUCAGAUUAGGUAGUUGGUGGGGUAAAGGCUCACCAAGCCAACGAUCUGUAGCUGGUCUGAGAGGACAACCAGCCACACUGGGACUGCGAAACGGCCCAGACUCCUACGGGAGGCAGCAGUGGGGAAUUUUGGACAAUGGGCGCAAGCCUGAUCCAGCAAUGCCGCGUGCAGGAAGAAGGCCUUCGGGUUGUAAACUGCUUUUGUACGGAACGAAACGGCUCUGGUUAAUACCCGGGGCUAAUGACGGUACCGUAAGAAUAAGCACCGGCUAACUACGUG
rnacentral:rRNA from 1 species